rnacentral:lncRNA from 1 species
UCAAUUUGAAGAUGAAAAUGCAGGUACCAGCCUGAAAGGAAAUAAUCCAUUUCACCCGAGCCAGAAGCACCAAUGAAGUCUGGCUGGGUAGGGCUGCUAGGACUGGGGCCAUCACAGAGCCUCUCUCACCCUCCCCACGCACUUCCCAAUACUGAAACCUAUCACUCUCCUCUUGUGUCUGAUCCUGUAUUCUGUGGUGUCUUGCUGGUGCCACCUUUUCUUUGAUGAGACAAUGUCACAGUUAGGGUCCCAGCAGGAGACAGCACACACAGUCAAGUCAGAGUACAAAGGAGCUACUUCCUGUCACCACCCAGACCAGAGGAAUGAAGGGACGGCUCUUGUGGGAGCUUCCCAAUGGCUGAACUAACUCAUCCAGAAUGAGAGUGUGGCACAGCCUGUGUGUCCCUGAUGGUCAGUGUCCGGGCAGAGAGCAGGGUAGAGGCAGAGGGGUCCUGCAAGGGGAAGUGGGAGAUGCUCACAGCAGGGAGCAGGGUGCACAAGCCAGGAAAGAACCCAGGCUCUGCUGCUCCCCACUGUGGGGCCCUAAUUAGACACCAGCCUCUCUGAGCCAGGCUUUUCUCCUCUCCAUCUGUGCCUUGGGCAGGGCCUGCUGACAGCUCGCUGCAGGGACCUCCCUGAGGAGGUGGGAUCCCCCUGUACGUCUCUAGUCCUUAAAAGGACUUCCAUGCACACAGCUUUAUCUUCCAUGCACACAGAUUUAGGACUCAGUUCCAUUGACUGACGCAUUUUCCUUCUUAGAAAAGGUAUUUUCACUCCUCUUGUCAGAGAAAGGGACCAGGAGCCCAGAGGGUCACAAUAAUGUCCUGGGUCAUAACAGUAUGCUUGUAGGCUUUCGGUGAGAAAAGGGUCUUGGGAAAAACCAAUGAGAAAGGACUGCAUGAUUGUGCUAUCUUCUUAUAAUUCCCUGAGGACGAUGUCCUUGCUUCUUCAGCUCAAAAGUUUAUUCAGCCAUUAUUCACAUAUCCACAUAACUACUUAUUUCUCCAUCUGGGUGCUUAUCUACACUUCACUUGAGUUCACAAAAGUAUUGGAGUAGUUAAUAAAAACUUGAACAAUAAGAGAGAGGAACAUUAGAAUCUUAGGGGAAAUCUACUUAGAUGAUAUGAUUAACAUAAAACGUAGGAUUGUCAGAUACACACUGCUAAAUUCCAUUAAAAUCAAAUUGCUAGUUGGCUUGUAAGCUUCCUGGUAGCAUGAGCAAAAAGGAAAUCAAGCUCCUUUAUGUGUUAUUAAUUUCCUAUAAUAAAAAGCAAACCAGUUCCUUAGGGAAAGCAACAGGACGUAUCUCUCAGGAUCAUAUUAAUGCUGCCUACUGUGUACAGCGUGCUGGUGUAGAUCACAGCUACAAAAAAAAAAUGUUUAUUAAAGUAAACCCCUGUGUAACAUGAGGUCAUAAAUACAGAGAGGACCUCAGUACAAACCAGGCUCACACAGCCGAGGCUUGCUGGGCUUAAGAGGAGGCCGCCAGCAGCCUCCUUCAGAGGGAGUCCUAGUCUUUACGUAGUGGAUGGUUCUGCACUCCUGCCUGGAGCUCUAAGCUGCUACACAAGUAGGAAGCUGGAAGGGGGGAAGUUAAC